AUUCAAAUAGUUUAAUUAAAAUAUUAAUUUGUGGAAUUAAAGAUAUAGUCUGUAUUUUGAAUA
rnacentral:tRNA from 1 species